AUUCAUUCUGUCAGGGAACUUUACUUUAAAUUUAAAUUUUAAGCUAAGGUUACCGCUAAUCGGCUUUUGAGCAACCGGCGCCCGAAUAAUUAGAUUUAAGAUCAUAAGAUGUAUUCAGGUAAAUGUGUUCUUGCUUUUAAUUGCUUUCAGGUACUGCAGGAGAUUCAUUCACAACCCAUAAAGGUAUGGCGUUCACGACUAAAGAUUCUGACAAUGAUUCAAGUUCAGACAACUGUGCUGUUCAAUUCAAAGGCGCUUGGUGGUAUGGGUCAUGUCAUGCAUCCAAUCUAAAUGGUCUGUAUCAUCAUGGUGCACAUGGAUCGUACGCGGAUGGUGUCAACUGGUACGCAUGGAAAGGAUACCACUAUUCCCUCAAAGCCACAUCAAUGAAAAUCCGACCACGCUCGUUUGGACUGAAAAAGUGAACAUAACUUACAUUAGCACUACUUCGCAUGUAACUGCACAUAAAGUAUUAGAAUUUUAAAGACACCGAUAAAUUUCAAAAAAGAAAACGUAGCAAACUUAAUGUAAACAUUUUAAAAUAACUUUUUUUAAAUCAAAACAAAAACAGCCUGAAAUGUCAUGAAUAAGUCAUAUUAAAUUACAGUAAGCAGCACAAUUAACUGCACAAGCAACCGAUUUAUCAUUUUUAACAAAUGAAUAUGUAUUUUCUUGAAUAUAUAAUUUAAAAUAUAGUGAGUACCAGCAACCAACCAUUGUAGUUAUUGAAUUAGUAUACAUUAUAUUCCGAAU